CUUAUGACGAGGUUUGGGCCAAGGAUUGACAUUUAUUUUAGUUUCCCUCGUUGAUUCCACAACCAGCUGGGCAUCAAGAAAACCCAGCCAACAACCACAACCAAACAGGGUGGAUAGGGAUGUCGCAGCAGGGCACAGGUUCAGUGGUGGAUUUCGACCUCCCCGACGAGAUUCUGUCGGUGAUACCAACGGACCCAUACCAGCAGCUGGAUCUGGCUCGCAAGAUAACCUCCAUGGCCAUUGCCUCCCGUGUCUCUUCUCUCGAAUCCGAUGCAUCUCGCCUCCGCCAGAAGCUUCUCGAAAAGGACCGAAUCAUCCUCGACCUCGAAGACCGCCUCUCCUCCCUCACCCGCGCUUCCCACCAAUCCGACUCCACCCUCAACACCGCCCUCAACGAAAACAUAAAGCUUACGAAGGAGAGGGAUCAAUUGGCAGCAACAGUGAAGAAGCUAAGUCGAGACUUCGCCAAGUUGGAGACAUUUAAAAAACAAUUGAUGCAGUCGCUAACUGAUGACAAUGCAUUGCAUGCUGAAACUACAGAUAUUGGAACCUGUGACCAAUCAGUUCCAAAGGCAUAUCCUGAUAAGGAUGAUGAUCGAAGUGGCAAUAUGGCACAUCAUUCAUACAAUGGCCCUGCAGAUGUGGGUAAAACAAAUGACGAAGCUUCCAGGUAUUCAGGGCAAAGGUUUUCUUUGACCCCAUAUAUCACACCACGUCUUACACCGACGGGAACUCCAAAGGUGAUUUCAACGGCUGGGUCUCCUAGAGGAUAUUCUGCAGCUGUAUCACCCAAGAAAACUUCUGGUUUUACCUCUCCUACAAAACUUCCAUAUGAUGGGCGCACAUCUCUCUCUUCAUGGUAUUCAUCUAGUCAGCAGUCAUCAGCAGCAAACUCCCCACCACGGGGACGAUCGCUUCCAGGUCGAACUCCAAAGAUUGAUGGAAAGGAGUUUUUUCGUCAGGCCAGGAGUCGCCUUUCAUAUGAGCAGUUCAGUGCAUUUCUUGCCAACAUAAAGGAAUUAAAUGCUCAGAAGCAAACACGGGAGGAAACUUUAAGAAAAGCAGAUGAGAUAUUUGGGUCAGAUAACAAAGAUCUGUACUUAUCUUUUCAAGGAUUGCUUAACCGUAAUGCACGCUAGUACUGAAAGCAGCAUUGCUGAGUAUUGUAUGAGUUGUUGUCUCUAGCCACCGUUGACCAUUGCCAUUUUUUUCUAAUGAUCAUUGGAUCUGGUGUGCCUCACCAAGUGCGGCCUAACCUAGAAGUUUUCGAAGUCCAAAACCCUAUAACGUGCCCACAUGUGUCGUUCUGUGACUCUGCCAGGCGCGUGCUGCUAAUGCGUCAGUCUUCGGAACUCAGGCACAACACCACGGUUACUGAGCCAACUUGGGUUUCUUGGACCAAUAUUGACUUUCUUCUUCGAUCCAUUGAAUCAAAAUCAAAAGAAGCACUAUUAUGAGCCACUGAAUUUGGGGUUGUUGUUAUGCUCACCUAGCACAAUUGCUGGUACAUCCAGCAAAACAAUAAAAUUCCAUCUUUGCCCUUUUGUAGAGCUAAUACGGAUUGACGAAUUCGUAAGCCUCAUAUGUAAGCGGAAUACGGAUUGAUCAAUCCGUAUUGGCCUUACGGAUUGUCAAUUUGUAUGAGGUUCAAACAAUUUUUUGCAAUAUUUUCUUAAUGGCAUGCACUUCUAGUUAAAAUGGUGAAUGAAUUUUGCAAGGUUUUGGUUUAUUCAACGAGUGUCAUGGGAAUUUUUUUAAGAUGAAUGUGGCAACACUCAAUCUGAUCUGCAAGUAAAAAUAAUAGUUUGAAUGUUA